rnacentral:rRNA from 1 species
GACGAACGCUGGCGGCGUGCUUAACACAUGCAAGUCGAACGGGCCCGCCCCUGUUUUUGGGGGUGGGUUGAGUGGCGAACGGGUGAGUAUCACGUGAGUAACCUGCCCCCUGCUCCUGGAUAACUGCUUGAAAGGGCGGCUAAUACGGGGUGUGCCGGCUGGUCCGCAUGGGCCUGGUCGGGAUAGUUUCAUCUUCGGGUGUUUCGGUGGGGGAUGGGCUCGCGGCCUAUCAGCUUGUUGGGGGGGUGAUGGCCCACCAAGGCGGUGACGGGUAGCCGGCCUGAGAGGGUGGGCGGCCACACUGGGACUGAGACACGGCCCAGACUCCUGCGGGAGGCAGCAGUGGGGGGUAUUGCACAAUGGGCGGAAGCCUGAUGCAGCGACGUCGCGUGAGGGAUGGAGGCCUUCGGGUUGUGAACCUCUUUCUCCGGUGGUGAAGGCCCUGUCCGUUGCGGCGGGGUUGACGGUAGCCGGGUAUGAAGCGCCGGCUAACUACGUG